AUUGAACGCUGGCGGCAUGCCUUACACAUGCAAGUCGAACGGCAGCACGGGAGCAAUCCUGGUGGCGAGUGGCGAACGGGUGAGUAAUAUAUCGGAACGUGCCCAGUCGUGGGGGAUGACGCAGCGAAAGCUGUGCUAAUACCGCAUACGAUCUAUGGGUGAAAGCGGGGGAUCGCAAGACCUCGCGCGAUUGGAGCGGCCGAUAGCAGAUUAGCUAGUUGGUGAGGUAAAGGCUCACCAAGGCGACGAUCUGUAGCUGGUCUGAGAGGACGACCAGCCACAAUGGAACUGAGACACGGUCCAGACUCCUACGGGAGGCAGCAGUGGGGAAUUUUGGACAAUGGGCGAAAGCCUGAUCCAGCAAUGCCGCGUGCAGGAUGAAGGCCUUCGGGUUGUAAACUGCUUUUGUACGGAACGAAACGGUGAGCUCUAAUACAGUUUGCUAAUGACGGUACCGUAAGAAUAAGCACCGGCUAACUACGUGCCAGCCGCCGCCGUAACAC
rnacentral:rRNA from 1 species